AAAGAGCGAUUUCCGGCUGUUUGUUUCGGUGUCCUCCAUAAAAACGUAGAGAUAUUGUUACAAUUCACAUCUGAAUAGAAAAAUUGAAUUUGACCAUUUAUUACUGUUCAUACAAUAUUGUUUUCUUCAAGAUAAUUUUCCAACAAGCUGCAUAGGUCAAUUUUAUUGCAGGGCAACCCUGUACGUGUGCAAACGGGAACGUGUUCACACAUCGCACCGAUGGAAUUCACACAGAAGAGGUCCCGGAUCGCAGUGACGCGAUGACGCAAAGCACACACGUGCGGUUUACGUGCUUGCACACCACCACACCGCGCCACAGAGAGGAGCGACGCGGACACUCCGGUCUGCCUGCCUGCCUGCCUGGCCAGAGCACGAAAUAUUUGAGUUGCUUGGCAAACACGUAAAUGUAAACGCCGCGUUUACACUGUCGUUUACUUUUCGCUCUCCCCUGCUGCUUCCGCGCCUCCUGCACCGCCUGAAGCCCCUCCGGGCGACUUCGAGCUACGACCAAGAAACCUCGACGACGUUCCCGGAUAACGGUUAAGCAAAGAGGCGGCGGUGACGAAGGAGGGUGGGUGGCGAAGGAAAUAGAGGCGAAUAGAGACUGUGUCGUCGUCGAGAACGGAAGGUGACGGCUAUGUGGCGUGGUAGAGACGGCGACAGCGACGGCUGCGAGCGAUGAGAAGCCGACCGGGUGUAGGGAGUCAAGAGAGGAGGUUGAAGGCGGAGGUGGCGUCGCGACGACGCUGGCGGGGAACUCGAGUCGACUAACCGUCAGUUGUGUAGUGGAUCACCGUGUCAAAUAACAUCGCAUAGCAUCAGGUUGCAUUUUCUGAGACAUCGCCGUGUAUGUACAUGCCGCGAAUCGACAAGUGUUCACAGUUUACAGUGUUCACGCGAUGUUGCUGGUGGUCGUACAUGCAUGUACUCGCACACGUACACAGAGGAACGAGGGAACUGCGGAUCCGUUACGUUACGUACGAUGUCGAGGCCCUGGGUCGAAGGCCGCGCGGAUUAGCAGUUAUUAAUUAAGCUUAAUUGUUUCUGUUGGGUCGACGCCGAUCGGGUUUACAAGGUGUACGCGUGUCUACCAUCGCCGACAACGAGCCGAGGAACACGUGCGUCCGCGGACAGGCUGUCUGCCACGCCACGUGGACCGCUAUUAUGCCUACGCGGAGGGCUUUUGAAUCGCAGACAAACCGCAUGCGGCGACUCAUUACCAAGAGUUGUUUUAUACCCUGGCCGCGUUGUAGCGCAACUUUAACCCGUCUCACCAAAUAUGCAGCUAAUUGUAAGUCUAACCCUGUUACUAUCUCCCCCUCCCCCCUCCUCUACGCAGUACGGUACGUGCGGUCGCUAAGAAUGAGAUUGAAUUCGAUCGAAAUUCUCAACAGUCAGCGGUUGUGUUACUCGGAACAGUAUAGGUCUAAUGUCGCGUUCGCGAAACAGCAACAUGAGUCAUCCUCCUUAUCGGAGUCUAAACUCAACUUACCUGUAUUUGAUAUUGCAAUUUGCGCUGUAAACAACACUCUAGUUUAUUACGUGUCGUCGAUUUGUGAAGACAUUCCUUUUAAUAUUUUUUAUUAUCGGAGUGCUCAACUUUAUAGAUCAAUUUGUAAUAAGAAAAUAACGACACCGAUAUUUUUUAUGAAUAAUUUUUGGGAUAUAUA